CUCUGUCAGCCCCAGAACACUGGCGGGGUUAGCUGGAGGCCCCAGUUGGGAGGUCCCUCACUGGGCCAGACCCUGAGACCUCCAUUCCAGGGAGAAUUCAAACCUCUGUCAGCCCCAGAACACUGGCGAGGGUGGCUGGAAGCCACGGUAGGGAGGUCCCUCACUGGGCAGGACCUCAAGACCUCCAUGCCAGGGAGAAUUCAAAUCUCUGUCAGCCCCAAAACACUGGCAGGGGUGGCUGGAUGCCGAGGUCCUUCACUGGGCCAGACCCUGAGACAUCCAUACCAGGGAGAAUUCAAAUCUCUGUCAGCCCAAGAACACCGGCGGGGGUGGCUGGAGGCCCGAUUGGGAGGUCACUCACUUGGCAGGACUUAAAGACCUCCAUGCCAGGGAGAAUUCGAAUCUCUGUC
rnacentral:lncRNA from 1 species